GAUUAUCAGAAUUUAUAUACCCAGCAAAUUGGGUUGGAGAUCAGACACUGGUGUACAGAGCUGCUAAAAAGAGAGAGCUGGAACGAUCAUUGGAUCCACCUCCACUCGGCGACAAUCAACGGCGUCGUUCUAACAUCAAUGAACCGGUUGUUGCAUUUGGUCCUCCUGGUUCAACCGGCGAACUCAAUGUUAGUGUUAUUGUCUCACCUGUUCCUCAAGACUUCUCGUAAGUUACUAUGUAACAUGAUUUUUCACCUUAUCCUUGAGUAUGAAAAGUGAGAGAAUACAUGUUCUCAAUAUGUGUGAAUUUUACAGAGAGUCAAACUUUGUGGAAUUCUUAUAUAUUGCUGAAUGCUGAUUAUUCUUUUACAAGGAUUGAAGCGUUUGGAAACCCAGAGGAGGUGGGUGAAGCUGUGAUUAGGACCGUAACGGGAGCAGGGCUGCGGCCAGAGGUGAAAGGCACAUUGAUAAGAUCAAGUUUAAGAGAUGAUUCACUUACAAAUGCCAAAUACUAUGAACUAGAGUUCAGAAUUGAGACCCCGUCGUUUCGGAGACACAAUGUUUUUGUCUGCUGCGGCCGCGGUGGUAGGCUUUUCACUUUAAAUGCUCAGGCACCUGAAUCAGCCUGGCCAGGACUCAAGUCAGAUUUCUACAGAAUUGCUGAUUCUUUCAGCCUCACAGCUUAGUGGUUUAAUAUGAAACUUGAAUGUUUUAUGAGAGAGAGGUUCUUCCUUGCAGAAACAAGUUUGUAUAUAUCUUACAUGUUUCUUUGCUGAGUUAUAAUAAAUACUAAACAUAUCUGCAUUGUCUCCUUAUAUGACUCUCAAGUGCCUCUAACUAUUAUACACAUUAAUUGAUUACCUAGGUACAUUGAAACAUAUCAACCCAAACAAUAUUUGCUCAAAUACAACUUCUGUAUAUAAUCCCCUUUGAUUGAUUGUGGGAUUUCAAGCACAAGUAAUGUGCCUUCGCUUCACCAUCUAGUAAUUCUCAGAAACCAUUGCUGUCAAGUUAGGAUCUCCAUAUCCGAUCUCUGUGCCUAGUCUGUGGGAGAAACACAAUUAAGAGGUUUCACAUUUAUAAGUAACAGUAAAGUAAGGAGAUGGAUCAAUUAUUGAUCUCCUCUUAUAUUGGGCUGACACUCCUUGUGCUCUGUUUAAUUCAAUUGUUCAUAUCAGAAAAAAAGUAAGCAGAUGGAUAUGUUGGAACAAUUAUUUUUCAGGAAGAUUCAACCAGUUAGGAAACAAACAUCACAUUUCUAAAUAAAGUUUCUGAAUUUCUUUGAUGGCUGAACUUGCUGCAUAAAGUGAUAUCUUCCCAACCUGCAUAAAUGUCCAAGACAAGAUUAGACUAACACUUACAGGUCCGCACAAAAUUUCAAUGAAUCUCAAGCAUUUUUUAAAGCAUGUCGGUCAGGAGUCUCACAUUGAAUAGAAUAGUAAACUCAAUGUAGUACGUAAUAGAUUAAUUUUUUUUAGUUUGAGUUCUCCUUAUGUGUUUAAGUCCUAACAAUACCAUAAAGGAUAGGAAAGUGGCAAUGAACAAAAGGGGACUUAAGUAACUCUUCUGACCUCCAAUAAUUUAUUGUAACACAUAAUUUCAAAAUUAAAUAUAGAAUAAUUUCAAUCUUUGAAAUUAAUUGGAUAAGUAAAUUGGUUUGUUUUCCAUCAGGAUCAUGGCUCCAUUAUCCUACAGCUGAUAUAUGCAACAUACUUGAUAAAAACCUGUUUCAAAUUCUAAUCAUUUAACCCAUAUCUUAUUUAAUUUGUUACCAAUUCAUUAUCCCAACUCAUAUGCUUAUCUUGUCACUCAUUUGAUCUAAUUUCUUAUCCCUGUUUUUUUCAAAAUACAAUGAAGUUAUCUUUUUACCACUUUAUAUAUUUGGGCAAACUUAGCUACUUUCUUGGAAUGGAAUUCACCCAAACCUCUGCUGGUUUGUUAAUGCACCAAAAAGAAGUAUGCCAGGGACCAAUGGCCACAAACAGAUUCUUAUGUGAAAUCUGCAAUAAAGGGUUCCAAAGAGACCAAAACCUUCAAUUGCACCGACGAGGCCAUAAUUUACCAUGGAAACUUAAACAGAGAACAAGCACAGAAAUUAUAAAAAGGGUUUAUGUUUGUCCUGAACCUUCAUGUGUGCACCAUAAUCCAGCAAGAGCAUUAGGUGAUCUUACUGGCAUUAAAAAGCACUUUUGUAGAAAGCAUGGUGAGAAGAAGUGGAAAUGUGAUAAGUGCUCAAAGAAAUAUGCUGUUCAAUCUGAUUGGAAAGCUCAUUCAAAAAUCUGUGGUACAAGGGAGUACAAAUGUGACUGUGGCACCCUCUUUUCAAGGUUCAUUAUUUAUUCACACAAACUUUUAUAUUCGUACUAUAUGAUUAUUAAUCAAAAGGUUUUUUACUUUACAACAAGAAUAAACACAAAUGAUCCUUGAUUAUAUAUAAAGUAAGUAUUAGAAAAAAGAGGUAAGAUGAUUAGUUGAUUUAUUUUUCAUGGUUGUAUCAUAUAUGGAGAAUUUGAGUCAUGAAUAUUCAUAUAUAAUGUCGUACACGAGUUGCAUGCAGUAGCUGUCCACAAAUAAAGUGUGCCAUUUCUGGAGCUUGCAGCUUUUUGUUUGACCACACAUGCAUGUACACACUUUGAAAUUAUAUCAUAUUUAUUAAAAAUUUCAAAUAUUCAUAAUUAAUGUUAUUUUUACUUCAUAAUUGUUGACACUGAAAUAAAAUAUGAAAUAAUAUAAGAGACAAUAAAUUUGUGUUGGUUGAAUUUAUAUAUAAUAAUAAUUAGAACAAUUUCGUUUUCCUGAUUUUUUUUUUAAAAUUAAACAUUUUCUCUUGUUAUAAUGUAUAGCAUACAUGCGUCCUUGAUGAAUCAUGAACAAUAAGAAAUUAACAUAAUGAGAAUAACUCAGACAGGUCUCUCUGAUCUACAAGGAUAGGUCACCAAUAUAUAGUCUAAUUUAUAUUUAUUUGCCCUCAUAAAGGAUUCCUUAUUUAACAUGCUAAAAUAUUCUCUUUAUUUAUUUCUUAAUGAUCCCCCAUGUGUGAUGUGCAAUUUUAUAGUAUUGAUUUAAUUAUUUCAACACUGGGGAUAUGAUAAUACUAUACCUACCCUCUAAUCUUUGUAUCAUGCUUCUAUUUAACUUUAUAUAUAAUAUACAACUAUAUUUGCUUAGAGAAUUGCAUGUCCUACAGGUAUAAAUCUAGCUCUAAAUAGACAUUUCUUUAAUAUAUAUUAGUUCUUGUAACAUUAGCCUAUUUUCAAUCUCUUAUUUUUCUCACAUAUUUAUCCUUUAUGUCUCAAAAUAACUCACACCAUAUGCUUCAAUUCUGAUACAUUUAUCUGCAGAAGAGAUAGCUUCAUUACCCACAGAGCUUUCUGUGAUGCACUGGCUGAGGACAACAAAGGCAAUGAAGAACAAUUGUCAAAGAUGGGUUCAAACUUGCAAUGCCAACCAAUGCCAAAUUUGGUUCCCUCAUUACCAAUCAAUACCAACAUAAUCCCCAACCCACAAGUUGGAGGGACAACAUCAGAAUUCAACAACCAUUCAGAUCAAAGGCAUAAUCCAUUAUCAUCACUGCCAAAUCCUGCAACUUCAAAACCCUUCAACAAUAAUAUGGAAAUGAGGAACACUUGUCCCUCUCUUCAUCUGAGUUCAAACCUUUUAGCUUCUCAUGAAGGCUCAUCACUCAUGUCUGCCACUGUGUUGCUGCAAAAGGCUGCUCAAAUGGGUGCAACUCUGAGUAAUAAUAAUAGCAACAUUGCUACAACCAUGGCACCACUAUCAUUUGGUAGUAUGGUGCAAUUGCAACAACAACAACAACCAGAUAGUGUUCACUCCUUCAUGAACCACUACAUGCAACAACAACAACAGGAUCAUGUUUCAUCUCAGUAUAAUAAUUUCAAUGCAAAUCAUGAUAUGAGUACCGGUGAUAAUGAAGGUAGUGUUGCUGGAAUGAAUGGUGUGGAUAUGUUUAAUGUUAUAUAUGAUCAAAGUAAGGCGUUGUCAAAGAUCAUAGAGCAGAAUAAUAGAAGCAUAAACAGUGGAGUUUUGCAUCAAAAAAAUGGUGGGUCAAGUAGUGGUGCAACUAGCAUUGGUGGAAGUAAAGGAAGUGGUGAUGUAAUGACUCUAGAUUUGUUGGGAACUGGAGGUGGUGGUGAUAGGAAUUUGAAUAUCUAUGAUGGUGCACAACAUGCUGAAACUUCUGCAGAAGAUGAGGUUUGGAGAAAUUGGUCAAACAAGAAUGAGGACUUUGAAUCAUUUUCAGCAUCUAGCAGCAUGUGAAAAGAAAAGACCACACCCUUCUUAUAGUUUGGUGAUGUUUUUUUUUGCUUUGACCAUUCCUUCUUUCAGUCUAUGCAGUAAAGAAAUCAGACAAGAAAUUUUUAUAUAUUAGUUGGAGGAAGAAACAGUUUUUGUUUUGUUUCAUUUAAUGUAUAACACCUCAAUUUUAUGUGGGUUCUCAGUAUCUCUUACUCUAUCAGCACUUUCAAUGUUACAUAUUGAGGUGUAAUACAAUAACUAGCAGAAGACAAUAUUUUUUUCAACUCCAACAGUACAUGAGGAUUUCUCAAGAAAUGGUGUCUUCAGUCUUUCUGUAGUGUAAGGCACAUUAAAUUUGGUCGACAUUACUGUGACAAGCCAGUGUAACAAUGUAGAUUACUCCUUUGUUCCCAUAAAUUUGUUUGAAGUUAAUGUUAAGAAAGAGAAAUAGGUAAGACAUUUUCUACUAUUCAAUUAUGUGUGGUUGAAAGUAUACGAUUCCUAGGACCAAAAAAAUUCAAUCCAAUAUAUAUGCUACUUGUUAGCAGAACUUUCUCAAAUGAAUGAUACUUGAAAUUGUUAAUGGUGCUAUUAGGAUAAUGGUCAACGAUUCAAAAGUACACAACUUGCAUUAAAAAAAAUAGUGUUGGGUUUACUGGGAGUGAGAAUUAGAAGAGUUUAUAAGUGGAAAAGACUUAUGAAACUAAUGUGUUAAGAUUUUGGUUAAAAAUGUAGUAUCUUACAUGUGGCUCUCUACUCUUCCCAUAUCUUGGGAACUCUGGUGGUUGGACGUUCCCUGGUCGCAGUCUGGUCCAACAAGUAGUAUCAGAGCCGAUAGUUCGGUGAGACAUGAUGGAUUUAAGGGGAGCAGAUCGGAAAGUGUGUAGUAGCCACACUUGAGGGGGAGAUUGUUGAGUUUAUUCAAAUGUGAAGUCUCACAUUGAAUAUGCCAGGAUGAGUGAAAAAGUUUAGAAGUGUAAAAAUCUCAUGAAAAUAAUGGGUUCAAGACGUAAUGCCUCACUUGCGACUCUCUACUCUUCUCAUACCCAGAUAAUAAUGGAACUUUCAGGUGGUUAGACUUUAACCAAUUGUAGUUUGAUCCAACAAAUAUCCUAUUCAAAUCCUCUGAAAAUUUUAAAAAAACUAAUGUAUUGUUAAGUAAAAUAAUUUUUUUUAUAUUUAAAUUCUUAAUUAUCGUCCUUUUUAGCAAGUUUUGGAUCAUAUCUUCUAUCUUGGUGAAAUUAUGUGUUACGGAGUAUGAUUGUAUUUAAUGCAACAUACAUAUUUGAUUACAACAAUAGUCACACGUGAUCAACAAUCAUUUUUUUUUUGCUUGCUUGAGGUUGGGAGGUUGAAAUUGAAUUUAUGCUAUGGAAGGUCAAUAUAUUGACAAAUUAUAUGACUAAAAUUGGAAUAAGCGAUUUAAAAGACUUCAAGAUAUGAAAGACAAUAUCAAUAGACUCCAGAGAAAUUCAACAAAUUGAUAUAUCCCUAAAAUAUUAGUGUAUACUUUGUUUCCCAAUGUCCAAAAAAAAAUUGUUAAAAAUGACCAAUGUGAUAUAUAUGCACUAGCUCUUUUGUUUAUAUCUUUUUUUUCUUAAUUAGUAGGAGGAACGAGAGCCGCAAAAAACCAGAGAUAAGAGUUAUCUCAUUCCCAUCAAAAGAGCCACAAACAAAACCAAUCAGAACCCACCACUUCAUUUAUUUUCUUUUGAACUUAAGAAAGGGGUUACAAGCAAACUAGCAAAUGAAAUAACUCAAAUAAGGUCAUGUCACAAAGUAGGAACUAGUAGAGCACACUAUAUAGCACAAUAACAGACAUAACAUAGCAGUAGCUGCUAGGAACAGAAAACAAAAUAGUGAGUUUAUGAGAAUAUAGAGUAUGGCACUACAAACUGCAAAGUUUAACUUUAACCGGAUUCACAUAGCACAAUGUUGUAACCAAGAAGAACAAAUUAAAUUCAAUAAUGGAAAAAGAGGUGGGUCUCCAGCUGAGGAAUUUGCACCAUUGGCCACCAAAUUUCAGCGGCGGCUUCUUCUUGGAGUUGGCUCAGCCUCACUUGUAGCUGUGGGUGCUAACUUUGGUGGAAUCACUAGUUUUCUUCUCGGUUUCUCGCCUCAGAAUUCCCGUAACCUCAAGCUCGACGUGCUUUAUCCCAUUCAAGGUUAUAGCCGUUGCAUUGACACAACUGAAGGAUUUGGUAACUACACUAAUUCAUAUUAUUCAAUACUUCUUGUCAUAUUUUUAUUGCCAUUUUCAAAGUUUUAUGUAGAAUAAAACAAUUUUAUUCAUACUACAAUCAAACCUUAAUUUCAUGUGAUUAAAUAUGUUAUCAAUAAUUGUUAUGGUUUAUAAUUGGAUUAUCAGAAUUUAUAUACCCAGCAAAUUGGGUUGGAGAUCAGACACUGGUGUACAGAGCUGCUAAAAAGAGAGAGCUGGAACGAUCAUUGGAUCCACCUCCACUCGGCGACAAUCAACGGCGUCGUUCUAACAUCAAUGAACCGGUUGUUGCAUUUGGUCCUCCUGGUUCAACCGGCGAACUCAAUGUUAGUGUUAUUGUCUCACCUGUUCCUCAAGACUUCUCGUAAGUUACUAUGUAACAUGAUUUUUCACCUUAUCCUUGAGUAUGAAAAGUGAGAGAAUACAUGUUCUCAAUAUGUGUGAAUUUUACAGAGAGUCAAACUUUGUGGAAUUCUUAUAUAUUGCUGAAUGCUGAUUAUUCUUUUACAAGGAU
rnacentral:lncRNA from 1 species